ACAGAAGGAAGGCAGCCGCAUGGAGAAUGAGGGCCGGGGAGUCUACCUGGUGCAGAGGGUGAGGCUCAAGUGGCAAUGUCUACAUCACCGUCCCAGAGAACUAGGAAAAGCUGACCAUCCACCGAGCCCUUGGAGACUCCAGUGAACUAAGUCGUCACGGUAAGAAUGAAGAUCAAACCAGAUAAAGAUCCAGAAGUCCAUGAUAGCUGCAAGCAGAAAGGUGGGUGAUAUUAUGCGAUGUGCACCCUGAGCUGGCACAGGAGACGUCUGGGAAGAAGAGCUCCUGUUCAUUGGCAUGCCCCUGAGCCAGGUCUUCGAAGUCAAAUUAUUCAGAAGGUGUUUUAGUGAAAACG